GUGUCAGCAGCCGCGGUAAUACGAAGGGUGCAAGCGUUAAUCGGAAUUACUGGGCGUAAAGCGUGCGUAGACGGCCUGUUAAGUCGGAUGUGAAAGCCCCGGGCUCAACCUGGGAAUGGCAUCCGAUACUGAUGGGCUGGAGUGCGGUAGAGGAGAGCGGAAUUCCCGGUGUAGCGGUGAAAUGCGUAGAGAUCGGGAGGAACAUCCGUGGCGAAGGCGGCUCUCUGGACCAGCACUGACGUUGAGGCACGAAAGCGUGGGGAGCAAACAGGAUUAGAUACCCUUGUAGUCC
rnacentral:rRNA from 1 species